GUCGAGCGGUAGCACAGAGAGCUUGCUCUCGGGUGACGAGCGGCGGACGGGUGAGUAAUGUCUGGGAAACUGCCUGAUGGAGGGGGAUAACUACUGGAAACGGUGGCUUAUACCGCAAAACGUCGCAGGACCAAAGUGGGGGACCUUCGGGCCUCAUGCCAUCAUAUGUGCCCAGAUGGGAUUAGCUAGUAUGUGGGGUAAUGGCUCACCUAGGCUACCAUCCCUAGCUGGUCUGAGAGGAUGACCAGCCACACUGGAACUGAGACACGGUCCAGACUCCUACGGGAGGCAGCAGUGGGGAAUAUUGCACAAUGGGCGCAAGCCUGAUGCAGCCAUGCCGCGUGUAUGAAGAAGGCCUUCGGGUUGUAAAGUACUUUCAGCGAGGAGGAAGGCAUUAAGGUUAAUAACCUUAGUGAUUGACGUUACUCGCAGAACAAGCACCGGCUAACUCCGUGCCAGCAGCCGCGGUAAUACGGAGGGUGCAAGCGUUAAUCGGAAUUACUGGGCGUAAAGCGCACGCAGGCGGUCUGUCAAGUCGGAUGUGAAAUCCCCGGGCUCAACCUGGGAACUGCAUUCGAAACUGGCAGGCUAGAGUCUUGUAGAGGGGGGGUAGAAUUCCAGGUGUAGCGGGAAAUGCGUAGAGAUCUGGAGGAAUACCGGUGGCGAAGCGGCCCCCUGGACUAAGACUGACGCUCAUGUGCGAAAGCGUGGGGAGCAUACAGGAUUAGAUACCCUGGUAGUCCACGCCGUACACGAUGUCGACUUGGAGGUUGUGC
rnacentral:rRNA from 1 species